GCCUUUAAAUAGAGGGUGGAUUAAGAGAAUUAAUGGGCAGAGUAGAAAGGAGCGAGACCCAGAUCGAACGCAAAAGAGAGAGGCAAGAUGAGGAGCAACCACGUAGUUUCGGCACUAAUUAUGGUGUCAAUUUGCUUCUUUGCUGCCCAUUCCUUCGCCUCGUCAUCGGAGCUUAAUUCCACACUAACCAGUGACGGAAAAAGCAACUGCGAGACAUGGCCAUGCUGCAAUUUCUGCGGGAUAUGCACAAGAUCUUAUCCGCCUAUAUGCGAGUGCCUAGAUUUGGGGACCUCUUGCCAUCCAGAGUGCAAAAAAUGUGUCAGGGCGAAGCAACUUAUCUACCCUCCCCUCUACCAAUGCAUGGACCGCAUUGUCAACUACUGUGAGCGGAAGUGCCAUGACGAGUAAACUGAUAGCUGGUAGCAGCAGCGUCCACAAAGACCAAGCAUAUAUAUAUAUAGCAAGAAACUGCUAUCUGCUUAUCUAUCUGCCUUAUAUCCUCUAUGCUCUUGAUCAUCAAGUCGUCUUUUGGUGCUUCAUCUCUUUGCUUUAGAUGUGUCAUCAUCGAAUGUAUUGAGGUGCCAUAUGUAAUAAACUUGAAUGAUAAAAUCUUUGUGUUGCUUUGAUUAAGGGCUU